UACGUAGGCAGCGAGCGUUGUUCGGAGUUACUGGGCGUAAAGCGUGCGUAGGCGGUGCCAUAAGUCUGUUGUGAAAUCUCCCGGCUUAACUGGGAGGGUGCGGUGGAAACUGUGGUGCUGGAGUGUGGGAGAGGUAGGCGGAAUUCCUGGUGUAGCGGUGAAAUGCGUAGAUAUCAGGAGGAACACCUGUGGUGUAGACGGCUUACUGGACCAUGACUGACGCUGAGGCACGAAAGCGCGGGGAGCAAACAGG
rnacentral:rRNA from 1 species